rnacentral:rRNA from 1 species
AUACGGAGGGUGCAAGCGUUAAUCGGAAUUACUGGGCGUAAAGCGUGCGUAGGUGGUUUGUUAAGUUAGAUGUGAAAGCCCCGGGCUCAACCUGGGAACUGCAUUUGAAACUGGCAUACUAGAGUAUAGGAGAGGAAAGUGGAAUUUCAGGUGUAGCGGUGAAAUGCGUAGAUAUCUGAAGGAACAUCAAUGGCAAAGGCAGCUUUCUGGACUAAUACUGACACUGAGGUACGAAAGCGUGGGUAGCAAACAGGAUUAGAAACCCUAGUAGUCC